GCAGAGAUGACUGAGAAAGAAGAGGCCACAGGAAUUUCUUAUUGUGUAAACAUACAUUAGUUUCAUUAGAGGCUAACUGUUACAGCAGGCAGCUGCUAAAAUGUGCGUGAAAAGUUGCUUUUAACAUUGGAAAAGGCAAGUGCAUUAUCUAGAAAAAGAUUUGAAAUUCUAAAAUGGAAAGCACGUAAACGACUGAAAAAAUAACAGUCAACGGUCCAGAUGAGUUUGUGAUGUUCUACGUUAUAAAUAUAGACAAAAGCUGACAAAUCUUAUUUAUCAGUUUGCUGUUCAAGUAUAGAUUUAAAACUUAUUGUCACCAAGUUGUAAACUCUACAAAAUAAAUUCAGGGCAAUUAGUUUGCAGCUUAACAGUUAAGGCACCCUCCACAAUAAGUGGCGCCGCUAAUAAUAAAGGAGGUUUUAAACAGUGAGCCACCUCUACCAUCAUCUUGACUGGGCGUGAUGGUAAGAUAAUGUUGGGUCUAGUCACAGUUUCGACUAUUUUAAGCUUUGUAUUUAGGCAAGAAACAAUUUUCUUGCAGCCAUGAUGAUUGACAAACAUCAGUUGUUGUGCUGUCUCACAACACUUGAGAAACUUCAUGAAUGCAUAAAGGGAUUGCAUUAUUAUGUAUCUUUCUACGAAGAUGCAAGGUCAUAGUUUUAGUUGAAAAAAAUCAAAUAUACCCUGAUUGCAAUAUAAACGUACAACGACACAGAUCUUCAGUAACAACAAUAAAAAAACAGCCCUGAAACCUUUUAGAUGUUUGUU